GGCGGUUUGUCGCGUCUGCUGUGAAAGUCCGAGGCUCAACCUCGGAUCUGCAGUGGGUACGGGCAGACUAGAGUGUGGUAGGGGAGACUGGAAUUCCUGGUGUAGCGGUGGAAUGCGCAGAUAUCAGGAGGAACACCAAUGGCGAAGGCAGGUCUCUGGGCCACAACUGACGCUGAGGAGCGAAAGCGUGGGUAGCAAACAGGAUUAGAUACCCUGGUAGUCCACGCCGUAAACGAUGGGCACUAGAUGUGGGGCUCUUUCCAUGAGUUCCGCGUCGCAGCUAACGCAUUAAGUGCCCCGCCUGGGGAGUACGGCCGCAAGGCUAAAACUCAAAGGAAUUGACGGGGGCCCGCACAAGCGGCGGAGCAUGCGGAUUAAUUCGAUGCAACGCGAAGAACCUUACCAAGGCUUGACAUAUACGGUCUAUCCCUAGAGAUAGGGAGUGCUUCGGCGCCGUAUACAGGUGGUGCAUGGUUGUCGUCAGCUCGUGUCGUGAGAUGUUGGGUUAAGUCCCGCAACGAGCGCAACCCUCGUUCUAUGUUGCCAGCGCGUAAUGGCGGGGACUCAUAGGAGACUGCCGGGGUCAACUCGGAGGAAGGUGGGGAUGACGUCAAAUCAUCAUGCCCCUUAUGUCUUGGGCUUCACGCAUGCUACAAUGGCCGGUACAAAGGGCUGCGAUACCGCAAGGUGGAGCGAAUCCCAAAAAGCCGGUCUCAGUUCGGAUUGAGGUCUGCAACUCGACCUCAUGAAGUCGGAGUCGCUAGUAAUCGC
rnacentral:rRNA from 1 species